AAUUGUUAACGCGCAUAGGAGAAGAUAAAGAAUAUGUUGUUGAGAAAUUUAUCGAGAACGCAAACAAGUAUUAAAUAUCAAAUGGGACCAUAUUUUUGCCAAGCUAUUUUGUUUAGAUGAAAAAACAGUAGCGACAUUAAUGGAACACAAUAAAAUAAAAUAAAAAUAAAAUAUAGAUAUAUUUAAUUUUAUCCAGGCGUCGUUGGUAAAUUGAAAUUUAUUAGAGUUAGCUUUUUUCAAAAGGCACAUUCCGAUUGGCAGCCACGUUCUUUAGAUCGUCCAAUCAAAGCAAGCGACACAAACAGUAGCAUCGUCUUUUCUUUUUGUUGACGCAACAUGUUUCUCUCUUUCUCUCUCUCUCUCUCUCUCUCUCUUUCUUUCUUGCUAAUUUUAGCAAGUCUUACUACCCGCUUCAUACUCGACCUCGAUCGUGUUCGCACGCUUUCAACUACAUGCGUGUAUUUUAAGGUGGAAAAAAGUAUUAUAGACGAUGACGAGGAAAGUAAAAUUUAGCAUCUCUAAAUUCGAUUUUAAUAUUCAUUUUUGAUCUCACCUAUAACCGUGUUAAAUUUCUUAAUAUUUUGAUAUCAUAUUUCUUUUUUUUUCUUACGUCUUUUCAUAGUGAUUUACAAUAUACAAAUUUACAAUUUACAAUCAACAAAUACGUAUUAUUUAGUGUUUUAAAAAAAAAUUAUUAAAAUUACCCUAUCGAUAAUCAUUAUCAACAGAAACGUUACCUACUUUUCCUACAUUUUAAUGUCUGAGUAUCAGGGAUAACCCGCAGAUGGCACUACAUGGUAAAAUCUGAACGGCCAUUAGUAUUUUUUGAAAAGAUGUCGGGUAAUAUGGAUUGAGCGAAGAAGACGAUUUAAUCUUUUGAAUAUCAUCUAAUUCGUCAAGGAAGGUCAAGGUAAUGUUGAGAAUCAAGAAGAGAUAGUUUCAACGAAGUUAAAAGCAUUUUAAAUUAAAAACUUGGAAGAUACCGGAAGUGAUUAAUCAUAUCCUAUCUGAAGAUAAUUCUCCGAAGAAGAAGAAGGAGAAGAAGGUAUAAUUUAGAUGCUUUCUAAAAAUAUACUCGAAGCACAAAUCAUUGAAGACGAUGUAGAUUCCUAGAAAACUGAAAAAUAUUCCGAGAUGAGUUUAAUACUCUUUUAGUAUUAAGGUACCGAUACAUAUACCAAUGUGCACACGUACACAGGCAAGUAAAUAAAUAAUUUCUCUAUAUAAAAUUAAUGUGGAAACGGGGUUCCCGUUUGAUGCGUCAUGGUUGCGUCAUUUACGGAACGAGAAGAGGUGGUGGCACUUGAAUUAGUUGAAAAAAAAUCGCAUAAUCCAAAGUUUUGGCAUCUCUUUUUAGGCACGUGCCUAAUCGUCCAACUACCGAUUGUCAGACUUAAUCGACACACCUUACUUGUACAUCAAACAGUUUAGCCAAAGUUCUUGGCCCAAAAUGUUUACUUAGCCAGGAAGACUAGAAUCUCUUUGCCAACUUGCAUAACUUUUGACAAAGCGUCGCGGAUUAUGCGAUCUAUGUGUUACACGCUUAAAACGCUUCAACUAUUUUAUGAAUGAAUUUCAAUCGGCCGUACAGAGAAAGAGAGAGAUAUAUAAAUUUAUUUUCUUUAAAAUAAUUCAAUAUUCUUAUUGAUUAAGGAGUUGUAAGAUGAUUAAACAAUUGGAUCGUUUAAGAGUAAUAUUAAUUUGAAAAUAAGUUUACGUUUUGAUAGAAGAAACGAAA
rnacentral:lncRNA from 1 species